AAAAUGCAAAAGUAAAUAAACUCUAUAAUUGGAACACAGAGUAUAUCAAAUGCACAAAAAAUAUGUGCACAAAGAUCUACCAAAAUACAUUUGCAACACUGCAGGAAAAAAGGCUGCAGUCUAAGUAGCCAGCAAUAUAAGUGUAAAGCAAACUGCCUAAACAGCUGUAGGAGAUUUGGGGGAAGGAGUCCCUAAUAUCAUGCUGGUAAUAGACUAGUAUCUAAUCCCACCAUAAAUAAAUGAUAGGACAGUCUGAAAACAAAAUAGAAUCCUAAAUUAAAAUCAUCAUCCGCUUUAGUGCAGUGCUCAACGCGCGUUUCGGCGAAACAAGUCACCUUUAUCAAGAGCAAUUUGCAGACUGAAGGGAGCCUCUUUUUAAAUGUGUUUAAAGCUCCACCCGUAAGCAUGAUGUAACCAUUGUUAUCCAAUCAGGAAUUAGGGGGCGGAGAAAAGUACCAAGCUCAACAGGAGUGAAGCUAAUUGUAGAUUUAACCCUCACAUAACCAAAAU